UACGGAAUGUGCAAACGUUAUUCGGAAUCACUGGGCUUAAAGAGUCCGUAGGCGGCAUGUUAGGUGAGGUGUGAAAUCCCACGGCUCAACCGUGGAAUUGCGCUUCAAACCGGCGUGCUUGAGGAAGAUAGAGGUGGGCGGAACUGAUGGUGGAGCGGUGAAAUGCGUAGAUAUCGUAAGGAAGACCAGUGGCGAAGGCGGGUCUCUGGACAGUUCCUGACGCUGAGGCACGAAGGCCAGGGGAGCAAACGGG
rnacentral:rRNA from 1 species